UACGGAGGUGGCAAGCGUUGUUCGGAAUUACUGGGCGUAAAGGGCGCGUAGGCGGCAUGGCAAGUCAGAUGUGAAAGCCCCGGGCUCAACUCGGGAAUUGCAUCUGAAACUGCUUUGCUUGAGUCCUGGAGGGGGUAGUGGAAUUCCCAGUGUAGCGGUGAAAUGCGUAGAUAUUGGGAGGAACACCGGUGGCGAAGGCGGCUACCUGGACAGUGACUGACGCUGAGGUGCGAAAGCGUGGGGAGCAAAC
rnacentral:rRNA from 1 species